rnacentral:tRNA from 1 species
GCCCGGGUGGCCGAGCGGUUCUAGGCGCUACAGUCUGGAGCGCUGCGGUCGCAGGUUCGAAUCCUGCCUCGGGCA